AAUCACAAGUUUUGAGGUUUGGGGGCUCACUUGUUUUUGAAGCUGUUGCUUUAUUGUUGAGAAAGGAAGUUGGGAUUUUAUGUCGGAAAGAAGUUGUGCAUCUCUUGUAUCUACUUUUCAACUGGGAAUUAUCAAAUUUAGCACGUAUCACGAAAAUAUAUCAAGAAGAUAAAAAAGAAUCCCGAAAUU